CUGAGAGGAGGUGCAUGGCCGUCGUCAGUUCGUACUGUGAAGCAUCCUGUUAAGUCAGGCAACGAGCGAGACCCACGCCAACAGUUGCCAGCUCGUCUCCGGGAGUGGUGGGGACACUGUUGGGACCGCCUCUGCUAAAGAGGAGGAAGGAAUGGGCAACGGUAGGUCAGCAUGCCCCGAAUUAUCUGGGCUACACGCGGGCUACAAUGGGUGGGACAAUGGGUAUCGACACCGAAAGGUGAAGGCAAUCUCCUAAACCCAUCCGUAGUUCGGAUUGUGGGCUGCAACUCGCCCACAUGAAGCUGGAAUCUGUAGUAAUCGUGUCUCAAAAUGGCACGGUGAAUAUGUCCCUGCUCCUU
rnacentral:rRNA from 1 species